rnacentral:rRNA from 2 species
GCCGCAGCGAAAGCGAGUCUGAAUAGGGCGUUUAGUACGUGGUCGUAGACCCGAAACCAGGUGAUCUACCCAUGUCCAGGGUGAAGUUCAGGUAACACUGAAUGGAGGCCCGAACCCACGCACGUUGAAAAGUGCGGGGAUGAGGUGUGGGUAGCGGAGAAAUUCCAAUCGAACCUGGAGAUAGCUGGUUCUCCCCGAAAUAGCUUUAGGGCUAGCCUUAAGUGUAAGAGUCUUGGAGGUAGAGCACUGAUUGAACUAGGGGUCCUCAUCGGAUUACCGAAUUCAGUCAAACUCCGAAUGCCAAUGACUUAUCCUUAGGAGUCAGACUGCGAGUGAUAAGAUCCGUAGUCAAGAGGGAAACAGCCCAGAUCGCCAGCUAAGGUCCCAAAGUGUGUAUUAAGUGGAAAAGGAUGUGGAGUUGCUUAGACAACUAGGAUGUUGGCUUAGAAGCAGCCACCAUUUAAAGAGUGCGUAAUAGCUCACUAGUCGAGUGACUCUGCGCCGAAAAUGUACCGGGGCUAAAUACACCACCGAAGCUGCGAAUUGAUACCAAUGGUAUCAGUGGUAGGGGAGCGUUCUAAGUGCAGUGAAGUCAGACCGGAAGGACUGGUGGAGCGCUUAGAAGUGAGAAUGCCGGUAUGAGUAGCGAAAGACGGGUGAGAAUCCCGUCCACCGAAUGCCUAAGGUUUCCUGAGGAAGGCUCGUCCGCUCAGGGUUAGUCAGGACCUAAGCCGAGGCCGACAGGCGUAGGCGAUGGACAACAGGUUGAUAUUCCUGUACCACCUCUUUAUCGUUUGAGCAAUGGAGGGACGCAGAAGGAUAGAAGAAGCGUGCGAUUGGUUGUGCACGUCCAAGCAGUUAGGCUGAUAAGUAGGCAAAUCCGCUUAUCGUGAAGGCUGAGCUGUGAUGGGGAAGCUCCUUAUGGAGCGAAGUCUUUGAUUCCCCGCUGCCAAGAAAAGCUUCUAGCGAGAUAAAAGGUGCCUGUACCGCAAACCGACACAGGUAGGCGAGGAGAGAAUCCUAAGGUGUGCGAGAGAACUCUGGUUAAGGAACUCGGCAAAAUGACCCCGUAACUUCGGGAGAAGGGGUGCUUUCUUAACGGAAAGCCGCAGUGAAUAGGCCCAAGCGACUGUUUAGCAAAAACACAGCUCUCUGCGAAGCCGUAAGGCGAAGUAUAGGGGGUGACACCUGCCCGGUGCUGGAAGGUUAAGGAGAGGGGUUAGCGUAAGCGAAGCUCUGAACUGAAGCCCCAGUAAACGGCGGCCGUAACUAUAACGGUCCUAAGGUAGCGAAAUUCCUUGUCGGGUAAGUUCCGACCCGCACGAAAGGUGUAACGAUUUGGGCACUGUCUCAACCAGAGACUCGGUGAAAUUAUAGUACCUGUGAAGAUGCAGGUUACCCGCGACAGGACGGAAAGACCCCGUGGAGCUUUACUGUAGCCUGAUAUUGAAUUUUGGUACAGUUUGUACAGGAUAGGCGGGAGCCAUUGAAACCGGAGCGCUAGCUUCGGUGGAGGCGCUGGUGGGAUACCGCCCUGACUGUAUUGAAAUUCUAACCUACGGGUCUUAUCGACCCGGGAGACAGUGUCAGGUGGGCAGUUUGACUGGGGCGGUCGCCUCCUAAAGUGUAACGGAGGCGCCCAAAGGUUCCCUCAGAAUGGUUGGAAAUCAUUCGUAGAGUGCAAAGGCAUAAGGGAGCUUGACUGCGAGACCUACAAGUCGAGCAGGGACGAAAGUCGGGCUUAGUGAUCCGGUGGUUCCGCAUGGAAGGGCCAUCGCUCAACGGAUAAAAGCUACCCCGGGGAUAACAGGCUUAUCUCCCCCAAGAGUCCACAUCGACGGGGAGGUUUGGCACCUCGAUGUCGGCUCAUCGCAUCCUGGGGCUGUAGUCGGUCCCAAGGGUUGGGCUGUUCGCCCAUUAAAGCGGUACGCGAGCUGGGUUCAGAACGUCGUGAGACAGUUCGGUCCCUAUCCGUCGUGGGCGUAGGAAAUUUGAGAGGAGCUGUCCUUAGUACGAGAGGACCGGGAUGGACGCACCGCUGGUGUACCAGUUGUUCUGCCAAGGGCAUAGCUGGGUAGCUAUGUGCGGAAGGGAUAAGUGCUGAAAGCAUCUAAGCAUGAAGCCCCCCUCAAGAUGAGAUUUCCCAUAGCGUAAGCUAGUAAGAUCCCUGAAAGAUGAUCAGGUUGAUAGGUUCGAGGUGGAAGCAUGGUGACAUGUGGAGCUGACGAAUACUAAUAGAUCG